AUUGAACGCUGGCGGCAUGCCUUACACAUGCAAGUCGAACGGCAGCACGGGAGCAAUCCUGGUGGCGAGUGGCGAACGGGUGAGUAAUAUAUCGGAACGUGCCCAGUCGUGGGGGAUAACGUAGCGAAAGCUACGCUAAUACCGCAUACGAUCUAUGGAUGAAAGCGGGGGAUCGCAAGACCUCGCGCGAUUGGAGCGGCCGAUAUCAGAUUAGGUAGUUGGUGAGGUAAGGCUCACCAAGCCGACGAUCUGUAGCUGGUCUGAGAGGACGACCAGCCACACUGGGACUGAGACACGGCCCAGACUCCUACGGGAGGCAGCAGUGGGAAUUUUGGACAAUGGGCGCAAGCCUGAUCCAGCAAUGCCGCGUGCAGGAUGAAGGCCUUCGGGUUGUAAACUGCUUUGUACGGAACGAAACGGUGAGCUCUAAUACAGUUUGCUAAUGACGGUACCGUAAGAAUAAGCACCGGCUAACUACGUG
rnacentral:rRNA from 1 species